rnacentral:rRNA from 1 species
UGCCGCGUGAGUGAUGAAGGCCUUAGGGUCGUAAAGCUCUUUCGCCUGUGAUGAUAAUGACAGUAGCAGGUAAAGAAACCCCGGCUAACUCCGUGCCAGCAGCCGCGGUAAUACGGAGGGGGUUAGCGUUGUUCGGAAUUACUGGGCGUAAAGCGCGCGUAGGCGGAUUAGAAAGUUGGGGGUGAAAUCCCGGGGCUCAACCUCGGAACUGCCUCCAAAACUGCUAGUCUAGAGUUCGAGAGAGGUGAGUGGAAUUCCGAGUGUAGAGGUGAAAUUCGUAGAUAUUCGGAGGAACACCAGUGGCGAAGGCGGCUCACUGGCUCGAUACUGACGCUGAGGUGCGAAAGUGUGGGGAGCAAACAGGAUUAGAUACCCUGGUAGUCCACACCGUAAACGAUGAAUGCCAGUCGUCGGGUAGUAUACUAUUCGGUGACACACCUAACGGAUUAAGCAUUCCGCCUGGGGAGUACGGUCGCAAGA